rnacentral:misc_RNA from 1 species
AAGCCACACAAACCAG